UACGGAGGGUGCGAGCGUUGUCCGGAAUCACUGGGCGUAAAGGGCGCGUAGGUGGCUUUUCAAGCGCGCGGUGAAAGCCCGGGGCUUAACCCCGGGUCUGCAUUCGAUACGGGCUAGCUAGAGUGUGGUAGGGGAGAUCGGAAUUCCUGGUGUAGCGGUGAAAUGCGCAGAUAUCAGGAGGAACACCGACGGCGAAGGCAGCGCUCUGGGCCAGAACUGACGCUGAGGAGCGAAAGCGUGGGUAGCAAACAGG
rnacentral:rRNA from 1 species